AGAGUUUGAUCCUGGCUCAGGAUGAACGCUAGCUACAGGCUUAACACAUGCAAGUCGAGGGGCAUCAGGAUGUAGCAAUACAUUGCUGGCGACCGGCGCACGGGUGAGUAACACGUAUCCAACCUGCCUUUUACUCGGGGAUAGGCUUUCGAAAGAAAGAUUAAUACCCGAUGGCAUAAUAUUUCCGCAUGGGAUUAUUAUUAAAGAAUUUCGGUCAUCGAUGGGGAUGCGUUCCAUUAGGUUGUUGGCGGGGUAACGGCCCACCAAGCCUUCGAUGGAUAGGGGUUCUGAGAGGAAGGUCCCCCACAUUGGAACUGAGACACGGUCCAAACUCCUACGGGAGGCAGCAGUGAGGAAUAUUGGUCAAUGGACGAGAGUCUGAACCAGCCAAGUAGCGUGAAGGAUGACUGCCCUAUGGGUUGUAAACUUCUUUUAUACGGGAAUAAAGUGAGGCACGUGUGCCUUUUUGUAUGUACCGUAUGAAUAAGGAUCGGCUAACUCCGUGCCAGCAGCCGCGGUAAUACGGAGGAUCCGAGCGUUAUCCGGAUUUAUUGGGUUUAAAGGGAGCGUAGGCGGACGUUUAAGUCAGUUGUAAAAGUUUGCGGCUCAACCGUAAAAUUGCAGUUGAUACUGGGUGUCUUGAGUACAGUAGAGGCAGGCGGAAUUCGUGGUGUAGCGGUGAAAUGCUUAGAUAUCACGAAGAACUCCGAUUGCGAAGGCAGCUUGCUGGACUGUAACUGACGCUGAUGCUCGAAAGUGUGGGUAUCAAACAGGAUUAGAUACCCUGGUAGUCCACACAGUAAACGAUGAAUACUCGCUGUUUGCGAUAUACAGUAAGCGGCCAAGCGAAAGCGUUAAGUAUUCCACCUGGGGAGUACGCCGGCAACGGUGAAACUCAAAGGAAUUGACGGGGGCCCGCACAAGCGGAGGAACAUGUGGUUUAAUUCGAUGAUACGCGAGGAACCUUACCCGGGCUUGAAUUGCAACUGAAUGAUGUGGAGACAUGUCAGCCGCAAGGCAGUUGUGAAGGUGCUGCAUGGUUGUCGUCAGCUCGUGCCGUGAGGUGUCGGCUUAAGUGCCAUAACGAGCGCAACCCUUAUCGAUAGUUACCAUCAGGUUAUGCUGGGGACUCUGUCGAGACUGCCGUCGUAAGAUGUGAGGAAGGUGGGGAUGACGUCAAAUCAGCACGGCCCUUACGUCCGGGGCUACACACGUGUUACAAUGGGGGGUACAGAAGGCAGCUACACGGCGACGUGAUGCUAAUCCCUAAAGCCUCUCUCAGUUCGGAUUGGAGUCUGCAACCCGACUCCAUGAAGCUGGAUUCGCUAGUAAUCGCGCAUCAGCCACGGCGCGGUGAAUACGUUCCCGGGCCUUGCACACACCGCCCGUC
rnacentral:rRNA from 1 species